rnacentral:rRNA from 1 species
AGAACGAACGCUGGCGGCAUGCCUAACACAUGCAAGUCGAACGAGACCUUCGGGUCUAGUGGCGCACGGGUGCGUAACGCGUGGGAAUCUGCCCUUGGGUUCGGAAUAACAGUUGGAAACGACUGCUAAUACCGGAUGAUGACGUAAGUCCAAAGAUUUAUCGCCCAGGGAUGAGCCCGCGUAGGAUUAGCUAGUUGGUGAGGUAAAGGCUCACCAAGGCGACGAUCCUUAGCUGGUCUGAGAGGAUGAUCAGCCACACUGGGACUGAGACACGGCCCAGACUCCUACGGGAGGCAGCAGUGGGGAAUAUUGGACAAUGGGCGAAAGCCUGAUCCAGCAAUGCCGCGUGAGUGAUGAAGGCCUUAGGGUUGUAAAGCUCUUUUACCCGGGAAGAUAAUGACUGUACCGGAGAAUAAGCUCCGGCUAACUCCGCGCCAGCAGCCGC